ensembl:misc_RNA Metazoa_SRP Metazoan signal recognition particle RNA
GCUGGGCGUGGUGGUGCAUGCCUGUAAUCCCAGCUACUCAGGAGGCUGAGGCAGGAGAAUUGCUUGAACCUGGGAGGUGGAGGUUGCAGUGAGCCGAGAUCAUGCCACUGCACUCCAGCCUGGGUGACAGAGAGAGACUCUGUCUCUA